CCUGCCUGGGAAGAUGCUGCCAAGGAGGCACCUUAAGAAAUCGAAAGGUGCACCUGGAGCCACUUAAAUGAAGGGACCUUGUUAGGGAGGCCUAAUUGGGCUGCAGGAGUUAGCCCACCUGUGAGGCAGGGCUGCAGGAGCUCACAAAAGCAGGAGUGAGCUACUCUUGCCUGGGAGCCUUUUUGCGUCAAGUUUUCUCCUUUAUUCUGGGAGUUGAACUUGGAGGAAGCUCGAGAAUUUGGGACAACAGCCUAAAUCCAUCAAAACCCUUUCGGGUGUUUCUCUGAUGUCACUGUGGCAGUGGCUGGAGUGUCACCAUCGCGCGUUGUGACCUCACGUGCUCAAUUACCAAAAUCCUCGCGGCAGGAAAUGUGUGCACCGGUGCCCUUUGGAAGUGUUGGUGUUUAACCCUCUGCACUGCAAUUAGAAAGGGGAAAAAAAAAAAAAAAGCCCAGCUCCAGGUUGCGCUUGCAUGGAUGUUUUCUGCCCUGAACCAUGCCCGCAUCCCGUGACAGAUGGUCACGUUAAAUCUACUUGGCGUUAAAUCUACUGCCCGUGUCCAUGAAACGCAGCGACUGAAACAGAGCAUGGGGUGACCGGUUCUUAGAGAUAAAACAACCCUUGCGGUCCCACAGCCCAUACCCUGUGAGAUGAAAUCCUACAGAGAUGCAGGAAUGACCCCGGUGCCUCCCUGCUCAUCCUAUAUCCUGCUUGCAUCGUGGACACUGACUGCGAGGUGCCGAGUUUAUAUUUGUAAUAUAGAUGGACUAUAAAUGUUGGACUGGGAGGAGUCUGACACCUCUGAGCCAUGGGUGACGAGCUUGGAGAGCCCCCGGGACACAGCAGAAGCUGUCCUGGGCUGGGGUGUGCUCGUGGGGCUGCAUGCAAGGACCCCAUCCUGCUCUGGAGGUGAUGCUGGGGUCGGUGUUUCACCCCAAAGGGCUGCUUCAGAGCUGCUAAGGGAUGGCAUCUGAUUGCCUCCCGUGGUCACCAGCGUUUCUGUUUCAUCAGAUGCAACACGCAAUCACCAGAGUUUGGUGAAGUGUUCACGAAACAAGUGUUCCUUCCUUGUACGGAGCCGUCUGCGCAGCGAUGGCUAACUGCAGCGUAAUUAUCAGGCCGUGGUGAAUAAUUCAUAGCGAGUAAUUUAAUCAUCCCAGCCCUUUCUGCCUAAAUCAGGUAGUGACUCACGGUUUCUGUGAAUUAUUCUUAGAGCAGUUUAAUGGCACCAAUUUUAUGAGGGGAGGUCAAUCAGCAGCGUUUGAAGCCCGGCGGUGGCAGGUGGCUCUGUUCCUUGACCGGGCAGGGACAGGUUUUUUUUUGCAGGAGCUUGAAAGAGGUGAAAUAAAAAUGGUUCCCUCUGUACGGACUCACUGCUCUGAGACCUGUUAGUCCAGAAUGGCUUUGCUGGUGAAAUUAGGGUGCUGAAAUAUUCACGGCAAAAGCAAAUACAGACACAGUGAGGUUGGGUUUUCAUUGCUUACCCGGGUGCAACGAUUGCGGACCACCACGGAUCCACGUGUGGAGCCCCUGGCCUCGAGGAGCUGCAGGGAUGGGAGGAAGAGGAGGCUUUCUGCCCGCAGAAAGGAUGCCAGCAGUAGAAGCAUCGUGUGCAUUUCCCUGCCAGGUCUUCUGCCUGGGGAGCUUUCUGAUCUAUCUCCCCAAUUGGCUUUCCCCAGGAGCGCGUGCGCUGCCUUCGCCUCCCAAAACACACACGAUCCGUCACAAUUUGCAGCCUCCGCUUCAGCGAGGAGGGGGCAGACGAAUUCAUCUCUAUAAACGCUUCCUUUUUUAUUACAGUUAAUGCGCACCUUUUGCCUUGUGUAAUGGACCUUUCAUUUUUUUGGAAAAAAAAAAUAAGCUUGACAUCUUCCUAUUUUAUGUCUUCUUUUUCCUUUUGCUGCGCACAGCAUCCUGCUCCAUCUGCGUGAUCCAGGCAGAGUAAUGGGGCAGGAUGCGUGCAGCUUUUCUUUCUCCACAUCACCCUUUGAAAUUUUGGGGUGCAGUGCUCUUGGGAUGGAUGCACGACCCUUUUGUUCCGCAAGGACUGCCUGCGGCUGGGCUCCUGCGGUGAGGGACCGUCUCCUUUGGCUUUGGCGUGUUGGAGUGUAAAAGAGCUGACCCUGCCAGGAUCAGGCUUGACCCCAAACUGUUAAGGAAAAAUGUCGAGACAGAUUGGAGGCCCUGACCGCUUUGGUUUUUCCCCUCUCGUGUCCUCGAGCUGUUUUCUGCAGCUGCAAGGAAGUUUCAGAGUGCGGUGCAGCACCCCUACCUGCCUGCUCUGGUGCGUGCCCACAUCCCUGCGUGGUGCUGGUGGGUGUCAGCCCAUGGUGCUGGGUGGCUGUAGGGUGGCAGUGCAUCCCAGGAGAGCAUCACCCAGCUCCUGGGUCCUGAAUUGGUGGUGCUCCGUUGCUGAGAUGGGGCAAGUCCUAGCUUUGGGCUCAUCCCCCUCUUAGUGCUCCCCACUUCCAUCAGGGGACAGGAAGGCUGAAGCCAUAUGGAGUCUGGCUUCUGUUUUCCAGGAAGCCUUGUGAAUCUGUCUUUAAAAGAAGAAAUCUAUUUUAUUUUUUUAAGGCAACCUGCCCUGGAGGCUUGCUACAAUGCUUUUUAAACUGAGACUGUAGCUUGCACGGUGCCCACUUAAGAGCUCAGCUGGAGGGAAGAUGAUCCGGCUUUAGAAAAGUGCAUGU